rnacentral:lncRNA from 1 species
GUUAUAUUCACUGUGACAAAAGUGAUCGACUCCCAUAGAGUUGUUUUCGCAACUGGCAGUGCCAAAUGACCCCUAGCGUCAGUGCUGAUAACUGGUGUUAAUUACUAAGGUAUACAAUUUCACUCUAUUAGUAUAGACAUUUACUCAGUAAGUGUAAACAGCAUCACAACCCCGCACAUAAGUUCAGUUUCUGCGUUCAAAUUUCCUUUUCGCGACACCAUUGUUGGAUCAACAAAAUCCUAAUUUGUUCCACGACAACUGCUUACUAUAUAUUGAAGACUAAUCUGAUUUAAGAAUCUUCCCUGAUGAGUCCUGUCUCUGCCAGUUCUGUGAUCGGUGGUUCAGACCAUGAGUCGGAUGAUACAAUAAUUUUGAGUGAUGGAAGCUCCUCACGACAGCAUCAAAGAUCUGAUGACGAAGCAAAAAAUGUACGUUUGUAAUUCAUUCUUCAAUUCACUUGCCAUCAAAGCUAAUAGAGAGCAUACUGAAGAAAAAGCCUGGUGGAGAGGUUGUCAUCAAGGAAUACUUCAAAACUAAAAGCCUGACUGACUGCACCAGAUGAAAGAUGAUCAACAUUCUUGUUUCAGCGAUGACAGACUCUCAUGGCUUACUGGGGACCAAUUCUGCUUGUGGAGACUCUGAUUGCUGGCUAAACACAACAUUAUAUUGUCAGGACAUCACCACCUCGCAGUGUGAGGAAAAACGUUUGCACAAGGCAUCAUAUCCUUGUUCCCAUACCCGAAGGAUCCCUACACCGCAAAUGGAUAUAUAACAAUACAUUUCAACUGAUAAAGGGCAUCUGCGUUUAAUUCGUCUGUGGAGAAGGGUACCUCUCGUAUGGAAUGAAAACCGUUCAGAGGAAUUUGGCUUCAUCUGAGAAACGGCCCACUCAACUAUACUCUGGAGGGCCAACUGCUGAGAGGGAGUCCAGUCCAUCCACUUUGGCUACCCUGAGUGAAGACCGGUGCAGAGAGGCCAUUUCGAAGGCAAUUUCUUUCUCACAAAACAUUCCAUUUUAACCUCAGAGUUUGAGUAAAUCACCAGCCUACACAUAAGAGAAAUGGCCUUAAUCGACAUCUACGGCACCCAGGGAACAGUGGGUUAACUGCCUUGCUCAGGGGCAGAACAACAGAUUUUUACCUUGUCAGCUCGGGGAUUUGAUCCAGCAUCCUUUCAGUUACUGGCCCAAUGCUCUAACCACUAGACUACCUGGGUGCAAAACUUUAAAUGUGUGAAGGGAUAAACUGAUAACAGAGCCUAAAAUCAUUCUCAACUCCACAACAUGGCCAUAUCCCAACUCUCCAUUCCUUGCCCCCUCUCCUUCCAGGUAACUGACCAGUGAAUUGACUGAAUACCCCCCACACAUACACCACAAAGUACCGAGUAAAGGGUCUGAAUGCUUAUGUAAAUGUAAUAUUUCAGUUCUCUAUUAUUUUAUUUUUUCCGAAAAUAAAAAAUAAACGUUUAUUUUUUAUUUUUGUCAUUAUGGGGUAUUGUGUGUCGAUUGACGACGGGGAAAAAACAAUUUAAUACAUUUUAGAAUACAGCUGUAACAUAAGAAAAUGUGGAAAAAGUCAAGGGGUCUGAAUACUUUCCGAAUUCACUGUGCAUCACUAUGAUUAAUGACUUCACAUUUAACUGGCUAGCUAGACACAAUUGUUACCUUGUAGCUACAACUUUUGAAAUACUCCUCUUCUUUUCGUACAAGCUCGGCUUGUUUCAAGUAUUUCUUUGAAUCCUGUAAAUAGAAACAUAAACUAACACCACAUCUCAACAAGAAGAUGCAAUGAUUACAACAUUUUAAUCUGACAAAUUAUAGCUAGCUAAACCAGCUGAGCUCUGAAACUACUGUAAACUAAAGUAGCUAGCUGGCAUGAGCUUGCCGCUAACCUCAGACACAUAGUGUGCAGGGCAAACCCGUUUUGGUGAUUUCGGCAGAGGCGGCUACAGAGGGGAGGACGGCUCAUAAUAAUGGCUGGAACGGCGCGAAUGGAAUGGUAUCAAACACAUGGAAACUAUUUGUUUGAUGUAUUUGAUACCAUUCCAGUGAUUCCGCUCCAGCCAUUACCACGAGCCCGUCCUCCCCAAUUCAGGUGCCACCAAUCUGUGGAUUUCUGGAAUAUCAUCAAAAUAAAUAAAUCACAGCACGUUUAGACUCAUUCUGCAGUUUUUACCUGAUUAACUACAAUCCCAUUGGAAAUUAAUUUUGAAAGUUUAUAUUUCUAAAUUCAAAAUGAUGCUGUCGCUGCUUUCUGUUGACAAGACAUUGAUAAAUAGCAGUGGCGACCCGUCAUACAGGGCAGUUGGGGCAGAGCAAAAACAGGUGGGGAGUUAGUUGCCUGUUUUGCAUGUUAUUUUGGCAUUAAUUCGUGUCACAUAUCAGUUUGCAAACAAUGUAAAAACAAAUGUAUUGAGUGAAUAAAGCUGCAUACAAACAUGAGCUCUUGCUUUCUUGAGUAAGGUAGCUCCAAAAUGCAAGUGUUUCAGCCUAGCUCAUGUUUGAUUUCUGUGGAAUCUGCAGGGAGAGCUAGGUAGUUCAAGCUCUGUUGGGUGCUGCUGUAACCUGUACCGGUACCUUUCUGCGUUGUGUUCUGGUGAGGUGUAGGUGGAAGAGAAGGGAAAGCUCUGGACACAAUUCUGCCGGUUGUCUCUCUUUUAA